GCUCUAUAAACUGUAAAAGAUGGAUUGGUGUCAUGGUUGAGAUCCUGCAUAUCCCCAUCCCCUUCCAUUACUGAAACAAAUGUCUGAGACAAGUCAACAUAUGAAGAGGUCAGGCUUACUUUGGCUUAGAGGUUUGGAGGUUUCACUUCAUGGCAUAUGGGUCCCGUUGCUGGGGUCCGUGGUGGCAGAGAGCACCAUGGUGGGAGCACAUGGCAGAGGAAAACCAUUCCCCUCAUGGUGACUGGGGAGCCAAAGAGAAAAGGAGGAAGGGGCAGGGGUUCCAUUAUCCCUUUCAAGGGCACACCCCCAGCGACCCAAGACUUCCCAGUAGGCCCCUCCUAAUGGUUCCACCAUCUCCCAGUGGUACCAGUCUGGGGACUAAGCCUUUUCACAUGGUUUUUUUGGGAAAAUCCCAAACCAUAGCACUGUGAUUCCAGACAUGUGUGACCUCACCGAGUUAGCUGAGUACGUGACAAUCUCAGGGCUGCCAAAUGACGCGGCCAGUAGAGGCUACGAAUUAUAACUUACAAAGUUGUAAUUCGUUUUCACCUCCAGAAUGGUUCUUUUGUCUUUUUGUCCUAAUAGUGCUCUCUGUUCCUGUUCUAAUAAAUUAAUAUCAAUACUAAAAUCAAAUCUUAAUUGGGCAUGUAGUAUACAUAAAAUAUAGUAUGGAAGUGGGUCACUGGAUUUUCCUCCUAUAGAAUAACCCGUCAGCAGUGGCUUCCCUGGAUUACGUUAUGAACGGUUACCAGGUCUCUGAAUAACUGACUUUCAAAAAUCUCUGAUAGAAUGAAGUAGGCGUAACUACAAAGGAGGGAGGUUUUGUUGUUGCUUUCUGUUUGUUUGUUUUGGGAGGUGCUGGGGAUUGAACCCAUGGCCUUGUGCAUGAUGGGCAAGUACUCUACCCACUGAGCUAUAUCCCCAGCCCCAAGCUUAUUUCUUAAAAGUAAACUUCUCUUUGUUUUACAGAUCAGUUAUCUUUCUUACCGUCACUCCAGAGGAAUUAUUUGUUAUUAAUCAUAAAAUGUUAAUCAUUUUCCUGAGUUCGAUUUUGUCAAAUUAGAUAUAACUAGUGUGGGUUCGUAGAUUUUUUUUUCAGAUACAAAGGAGAUGUCAGUUAAAGCUACAGAAAGACUGUGGGAGCCGGUAAGUGCAUCAAAGAAGAAGGUGAAGCAUUCUCUAGGAGUGACAAAAUAAAAACAAUGUGUGGCAUGGUCAAGGAAUUAUACAUUUGAACAAAGGGAAGCACCAAACUAUUUAACUGUCCCGGUUACCUAUUGCAUAUAAUAAACCACCCCCAACCUCAGUGAUAUAAAAACAAGAAGGGCC
rnacentral:lncRNA from 1 species